GUCGGGAAUAUUGCACAAUGAGCGAAAGCUUGAUGCAGCAACGCCGCGUGCGCGAUGAAGGUCUUCGGAUCGUAAAGCGCUUUUCGAGGGGAUGAGGAAGGACAGUACCCUCGGAAUAAGUCACGGCUAACUACGUGCCAGCAGCCGCGGUAAAACGUAGGUGGCGAGCGUUAUCCGGAUUUACUGGGCGUAAAGCGUGUUCAGGCGGUUUGGAAAGUCGGGCAUGAAAUCUCUUGGCUCAACCAGGAGAGGCUGUCCGAUACUUCCAGACUUGAGGGCAACAGAGGGCGGUGGAAUUCCGGGUGUAGUGGUAAAAUGCGUAGAUAUCCGGAGGAACACCAGUGGCGAAGGCGGCCGCCUGGGUUGCCCCUGACGCUAAAACACGAAGGCUAGGGUAGAGAACGGGAUUAGAAACCCCUGUAGUCC
rnacentral:rRNA from 1 species